GACUCUCGGCAACGGAUAUCUCGGCUCUCGCAUCGAUGAAGAACGUAGCGAAAUGCGAUACUUGGUGUGAAUUGCAGAAUCCCGUGAACCAUCGAGUCUUUGAACGCAAGUUGCGCCCGAAGCCUUCGGGCUGAGGGCACGCCUGCCUGGGCGUCACGCAUCGCGUCGCCCCCCACCUC
rnacentral:rRNA from 2 species